UACGUAGGGGGCGAGCGUUGUCCGGAUUUACUGGGCGUAAAGCGUCCGUAGGCGGCCCACCCAGUCUGGUGUGAAAGCUCCCGGCUUAACUGGGAGAGGUCAACGGAAACUACCGGACUUGAGUAUAGGAGAGGUUACUGGAAUUCCCGGUGUAGCGGUGAAAUGCGCAGAGAUCGGGAGGAACACCAAUGGCGAAGGCAGGUAACUGGACUAUUACUGACACUCAGCUGCGAAAGCUAGGGGAGCAAACAGG
rnacentral:rRNA from 1 species